GACAGCCUUAAAUUCAGCUCUCUCCAGUCUCACCGUUAGUUCUCCUCUACUUGCCUUGCAGUUUUGGGUCCUUGUUGGACUUGAUUUCAUCAUGGCAACUGAGGAGGAGGACAAUGAUGAUGAAGAAGAUUAUGAUGAUGAAGAAGAUGAAGAUGGUGCUGGGUGAGGAGCCGCUCCCAGGGGUGGACCACUGUCACCUUUAACGAGGCCAGUGGAGCUAAGCAGAGGAGUGACGCCAAUGGGGACAAGAACAGACACCACCUUACCCUGGAGAGGCAAAGGAUUCUGGGAUGCUGUACCGACCUUGCCCAAAGAUUGAAACUCCAGGGAGCAGAGAGCAGCUGGUCCCUCUCUACUGCUAAAAUCAUAGACAUGUAGAUGUAACAGUAAAGGCUUAUAGUCUAUACUGUAUACAUGUAGGCCUGUAUGUCUGUGAAACAGCAAACAAAUGGAGGUGCAGAAAAAGGACUGGACUUGAUUUGUCAUAGAUAUUGUACAGAUAUCUGUGGUAUCCGUGGACAGCUUUUUCACUGCAUGUGUCCCUCCAGAGAAACUGCACUAGCCUGGUCCCGGCCAUAGUACCUGUGACGCGGUACAGAAUGGGUCCUCAAGUCUUCAAGCUUUGAGAGGAACCCAGGUUAUAGCCAAAAGUCUAUGAGAGUUUCUCGAAAAGUGCCGCCUUCCUGGCCGGGAGAUACUGAGCGCACACAUGAAGACACACAGCCAGAUUUCAGAUUGGCUGAUGGCAGACCCUUGGCGAGUCUGUAAAGUGUGCUAUAUGCUUACAAUAGCCUACUGCAUAAAAGCACACAUUGACCACUAGUAAUAUAGUAACUAGUUAGUAUUAUUUUAUACUUACCAAAGCCCUUGUCCCUGUUGGUGGAUCUUUUCUACUUGGUUGUGUGGAGGGGACCCUAACAUGACGCAGACUACAUUUUAUAUGGCAUGCCAAUAGUUGCUGCCCACAUGCUUUGACCAUGUGAGGCCUUGUAGAGUCAGUGGCCGUGUUCAACAUGACGUAUGAAACGACUGAAACAUGUGUAAUUCAACCGAAGCACUGAGCACCCUGUUGUGUAUCACAGUGAACAGCGGUUGAACGUGCCCAAACUGGGCAGCCGAGUAUUGUAGUGUGAGCAUUGUAGCGUCACUAUAUCAUAGCCUUGGUCAUCAUCUACAUACUAACUGACACAACAGUUAUGGCAGUCUGUUUAUCUAUCUACUGUAUUUUAAGUGGACUUAGCUCAACUGUUGACUGUGAUCUACAUACUAAAGUAACUAGCCAUAAUGCUAUUUGGAGGCUGCUCCAAGUGUCUGUGGGAUGUUGAACGUCUGCUAGGGCCACACAGUAACUCCCCAUAAUACAAAAUAAACAACACAGAGAACUUGAA